GGCCGAUUCCGCCAUUUCCACCCCGUCAUCUCGCACUCGCCGCCCAGUUCCGCCAAAAUCCCCUGUCAGCCACUCAUCCUCGUCGUCAUCUCACGCCGCCCUCCCCGCACGGCUCCUUUCUCGAUUCCCACCGCGACCCACCCAGAUCCCCCGCACGGCUCCUCCUCCUCCCCCUCACCUCCCCCUCUCCAACGACCCGAAUCCAGGCGGAUUCCGCUCGUGACUGCCACGGCACCAAUGCGAUGACCACGCCGUGCCCGGGCGCCGCGGCCCUGCGCGCCCGCUGGACGGCGCGGUCCCUGGCGGGGGCGCUCCUCGACCUCGCCCUCGCCUGGGCCUGCCUCUGCCUCGCCGCGCUCGCCGCCGCCUUCACCCUCCUCCGCCUCCCGCUCCCCUGCACCUGCGCGCGCCCGCACCUCCCCUGCCUCCUCGCCUUCCUCGCGCGCUACCCGCCCCGCGCCCUCGCAUCCAUCCACGCCGCCCUCCGCGCCCGCUUCCCCUUCGCCGGCCCCACCACCGCCGACCACCCGGAGGAGGAAGCCGCGGAGGAGGAGAAGGAGCGGGCCGCCGCCGGCGGUGCGGAGGAGGAGGCGGAGGCGUGCGCGGAGCUGCAGCGGGAGCUCGAGAAGGAGCGCAGCGCCGCGGCGUCGGCGGCCGAGGAGGCCAUGGCCAUGAUCCUGCGCCUGCAGAAGGACAAGUCCGCGCUCGAGAUCGAGGCCCGCCAGCAGCGCCGCACCGCCGACGAGCGCUGCGCCUUCUACGAGGACGAGGUCGAGGAGCUCAGGGACAUCGUCCUCCUGCGCGAGCGGGAGGCCCGCGCGCUCCGCAAGGAGGUCGACGCCUACCGCCGCCUCCUCGGCCUCGGCCCCGCCCAGGACGCCGGCUGCGACGACGAGGAGGAGGAUGACGACGACCAGGAGAUGGUCACGCCGCACAGCAUGCUCAUGUCCGAGGGGGAGCCCAGCUCCUCCAGAUCGGUCGAUGCGAGUCUGAUCAUGCAGCAGCGGUUGGGGAACGAUUCGGGGUUCAGCUUCAAGACGCCCUUCUUCCGUGAGCAAUCCGUGGUGCCGCCUGUGAUUGGGGACCGUGGCAAUGGGGGAAGCGAGGACGGCAUCGCUGUUCAGACACCCGCCAAAGCUACCGCCGUUCAAUCGAGGCUGGAGCUCAGCAGCACUGAGGAUGAGGAUGGGGCAGAGACAGAGGAUGAUGGAGCAGAAACGGUGGAAAUCCUCCCCCUGUCUGCCCGGAGUCAAGAUUUGGAUCAGGGUUGCGAUUUACAUGUUGAUGCCGCUCCUGGUAUGGAAUCUACCAAGGAGCAGACACCUCAUGGAUUUCAGGAGGUAGGGUGUGGGGGUAUAGAUAAGAUUGGCUGUGAUCAUACGGGAAGUGAGAAUGAUGCAAAUGUCUAUGAUGUGCAUGUAGUUGAUGACAUUUGCUUCUCAACAGAAGCUAAAGGCCUGAUUGGUCGAAGCUUCUCAGAUGCAACAAUGCAAGCAGAGAAAUUACAGACUCGAGCUGCGGCUGAUGAUCUCCUUGGGAAAAGUCUGAAUGCCAUUAAAGGUGCACAGGACAAGAUAAGGCAUGCAGCAAGUGAAAGGAGGCAGUCAUUACAGUUGCAACUCUUAGAGGACAUAGCUAAUCAACUUCAAGGAAUCAAGGAUGCUGCAGAAGCAGGGCGACACGUAUACUGUGCUCCUCCUAAAAGCUCCAAGAAAAGCUAGAAAUCACAUCUGGUAGAAGCUUGAAUCUAUAUUACAAGCAACACUGAGGCAGUCAGUGCUUGAGGCCUAUUAGAGCCUGCUAAUCCAUAUGAUUAAAUCUCCUCAGAAGCUAUCUUGCUCAUCUGGGGAAAGAACAGGAGGCUGUUAGGCAAGCUAUUUAAAGGAGAUCAGCUUGUGAGGAGAGGAAUAUUGUGUCGCGAAAACACGAUUGGCUGUGUAAAUAUUGUUUUGGUUUGUAGUCUAGUCCACUGAUUUGUUGAUUCAUCAAGUUUUGCUUGUUGUUUUAAGUAAAUGUGGAUAAUUAUUUUGUACAUGUUUAUAAACAAACAGGGGAUCCAUUUUGCUGUUUGUAACCCUGUGAUAUAUGUGUGCUGCGAACUGUAUAAUCCUGGCUAUAUGAGUUGUGUUGGGGAACUAUGGGCUGGUAUAACAUGACAGAAAUGAAAGGUUUACCCCAUUGUUUGGAGGAA